GCUUCCAGGGCGCUGGGGUCAUAGCCCUCUACAGGGCACACGAAGUUAGUCCUGAUGCCACACAGGGGGAGACCCAGCUCAGACCCUGACUUUAAAUUAUGAGUGGUCCCAGCUGCUUAGACUGCGGCUAGUGACCCCGGACGGCGCUACAUAACUGCAUGCUGGAAUCGUGAGAAACUGGGCACCACUAGAUGUUUCUGCGUGUGCAAUGAUUAAAACCUGAUUCAAACAAAACGUGCAGGGAUCUGGGGUGUUGCUGGAAGGCCUUGCUAGUGUUGCAUCACGUGAACCCCUGGAGCCUCAGUUCUGAACACACAACACAAACCAGCCCUGCCUCAAACACCCAGUCAGCUCAAAUUCAAGACCAUGUCAUAAUCUGCAGCUUUAACUCUUCAUACAAAGUGAAUUACAGAAAUAGUUAUUAAAAAUAGUAUUUUUCUAUUGUAUCAAGUA